rnacentral:rRNA from 1 species
AUUGAACGCUGGCGGCAGGCCUAACACAUGCAAGUCGAGCGGAUGAAGGGAGCUUGCUCCUGACUUCUGCGGCGGACGGGUGAGUAAUGCCUAGGAAUCUGCCUGGGAGUGGGGGAUAACGUCCGGAAAUGGGCGCUAAUACCACAUACGUCCCGAGGGAGAAAGUGGGGGCUCCUCGGCCCUCACGCUCUCAGAUGAGCCUAGGUCAGAUUAGCUAGUUGGUGGGGUAAAGGUCUACCAAGGCGGCGAUCCGUAACUGGUCUGAGAGGAUGAUCAGUCACACUGGAACUGAGACACGGACCAGACUCCUAAGGGAGGCAGCAGUGGAGAAUUUGGGACAAAGGGCGAAAGACUGAGCCAGCCAUGCCGCGUGGGUGAUGAAGGGCUUCGGAUGGUAAAGGGCUGUUGGUGGGGACGAAGUGCAGUAAGUUAAUACCUCGCUGUUUUGACGUUACCAACAGAAUAGGCACCGGCUAACUGCGUG